UGGCACAUGGUUACCCUUGAUGAGAAGGUAGAUCACCGCCAUGGGGUGUCGGGGGCGGAGGUUCAAAUCCUCUCGUGCUGACCA
rnacentral:tRNA from 1 species